rnacentral:rRNA from 1 species
GCAAGUCGAACGGUAACAUGAAAGCGCUUGCUUUUUUGCUGCCGAGGGGCGCACGGGUGCGUAACGCGUAUACAAUCUACCUUUUACAGGGGGUUAGGCUUUGGAAGCGAAGAAUAAUACCCCAUAGUAAGUCGAUGUGGCAUCACGAUGACUUUAAAGAUUUAUCGGUAAAAGAUGAGUAUGCGUCCUAUUAGCUAGAUGGUGUGGUAACGGCACACCAUGGCAACGAUAGGUAGGGGCCCUGAGAGGGGGAUC